UACGUAGGGUCCGAGCGUUGUCCGGAAUUAUUGGGCGUAAAGAGCUCGUAGGCGGUUUGUCACGUCUGCUGUGAAAACUGGAGGCUCAACCUCCAGCCUGCAGUGGGUACGGGCAGACUAGAGUGCGGUAGGGGAGAUUGGAAUUCCUGGUGUAGCGGUGGAAUGCGCAGAUAUCAGGAGGAACACCGAUGGCGAAGGCAGAUCUCUGGGCCGUAACUGACGCUGAGGAGCGAAAGCAUGGGGAGCGAACAGG
rnacentral:rRNA from 1 species